UACUGCUCCAAAAGUAGGACCAGAGUUCACUUUCUGUUACAUGUGUAGCUGUAUUUUCUGGCUGCGAUACUGUGAAUACAUAUUUUCUUGUGUUAGAGUUAUCUUCCAGCAGGAAGACAGUGUCAAAGGCAGCCACUAGAAUAAUGCAGAGAUGAGAGUUUGUAAAAUGGAAACGCAAAUAGGCUGUGAAGACCACUUCCUUCUGUUGUCUCUCCCCAUAUAAAGCUCUGGCCAGCCUCUGAAAGGGGAAAAAAGGUACUAUCAUGUGUCUGAAUCAUGUUACAUUGGAUCAAAGAGCAUGUCUCUUGUCAUGUGCUCAUGUCAGCACACAACAGGUAACACAACGGAAGAAAAUGCUAAAGAUCCAAAACUUACUUAUUUUUGUUGUUGUUUGCCUUGCAAAGGCCAAGUGUAAAAGGCACUGAAAUAGCUUCAUAAUCAAGAUCUAGGAAGAAAGCUUUGUUAUAUUACGUUAAAUCUUAUGGACCCCAGCAGAGACUGGCAUCCCAGGUUGCGAGGCAGCUAGCAGGAGACCAAACAGCACCACAAUCUACAUGCAUAAGGAAGAAAUAUGUUUUACAACCGUGUUUCAUGAAGGGAAAUAGAUGCAGAGAGAUUCAGUGACCUGGUUCAAGCCUUCCUAAAGAUCCAGGAUUGGUUCCCAUUGCCACAAGACUGUUUCUCCAGUUGAUUUAUCCUCUCAACUUUAUUCCUGCUCUCCAAAAUCGCAUGGAAAGCUGGAGGACAGCGGGCAGUCGUAUGACAAAUGAAGCACAGCUGUGUAGUUUCUCUCUUACACAACUCUGCUUAAAGUGACAGCUGGGCUGAAGGGAACCCCUGAUGAAACAAAGCCUGAGCCCCCCCUACACGAUGACCACUCAAGCUAUGGCAGGCAUGAAGAGGUCCUGAGCCCCACAUCUCUACCUGCAGCAGGAUCUGGAGCCAGCAGAGAGAAGGAGAUGAGUGAGGAUGCACGCAAGGUUUACUGAAUUUUAAAAGGGAGAAGAUCCAGUAAAAGUGGCAAAUGCAGGUAUAUUUUCAAAAUAGAAGAAGGGGAAAGAUAAGUGAAUUUUAUUAGGGUUUGAAAUGUAAUUGAAUUUUCCUUUUCCUAUUUUGCCAUCAAAGAUGUCAGAAAGAAGUUUGCUGUUCUGGGAAAGGGUCUUGCAUUACUAACUAACCUGCUUAAAGUGGCUUCACCUUCUUGUGCAGCAGGGUGUGACUGACGCGAUGUAAAUGCAGCUCUUAUCUAUGACACAUGAAUGGGUGGAGAGGAGAUUUAGAGCCAUAAGCCAGAAAUAAGAUGCCACAAUUGCUUUCACUGGGAAUUAGUGUUCCACCAGGAGCAGAAAUGGGGCAAACACGUCAUUCUUUAUGAGUUAUAUUCACUACCAGUUCUGCUGAUUGCCCACCGGUAUGCAUGGCUGUGUAUUGCGUUAUUGUCCUGCCUCAACCUCCAGAAGCUUCCAAGAGGGUGAAGGAGUGGGAAAGGAUGCUGUUACGUGAUGUGCUGUAAGAAACAUGGAAAGACAGAGGUGCUGGUAAAGCAUCACAAAGGCUAAGAUGCUGUACGUGACAGCCUCAAAAGCUUUCAGAAAUCUAUCUUUUUUAAAUGUUUUUUGGAAGAAAAUAGCGUAGCAUGAACCUUCAGUAUCUGCUGGCUUCAGGUCAGCAGGCUUUCCCUGGGCAUGCCGCACUUCCCAGUGGCUGCUUUACACUGAUAUUUGGCUCUGGAAAGGGAAAGCCCAUGAGUGAAGGUGUAUUGAAUGCUAGAGAAGUAUGUUAGCUGAUAUUGAUCUUAGAGUAAAACAGAACAAUUAUUUGGAGGCCUUCACCAGACCUAGUCCUGUUAGCCAACUUUGGAAAAAUGUGAAAAUCCCAAGAAAUAACUCCUUUCUUGGCAGAUCCAGAGGCCCUGCACUGCUUUCUCCCACCCCUUACUCUCAAGGUUUGUAAAAUCUGAGUAUACUCAAUAUUGCUCAGCUGUCUUUAGGGUGUCUGUUAGCGUCCCGUCCUCCCCCCUGAGACUGACACUUCAUAUGCUUCUCGAUGUGAGGGACUAGGAUACACAUAAAGCCCAUGUCCUUCAUAGUUGGACCGUUUUCCUGGUUAAGAGGAGCAACUCAGUCCCCAGAAUGUUGGAGCAGCUGGCAACAGCAAUCGUCACCCAGCUCACUGGGCUAAAUGAGAUGGGGAGGACAGAAGCUGAGAUCUGUUUCCUUGAAUUAAACUGAUUAGGGCUCUGUAGCUGAGGCAAGUGGCAUAAAAUGAGCGAAAAAGUCACUGCAGUGAUUCUGACGGGAGGCAUAAGCCUCCUUCCCAUCUUGGCAUCUCCUGACCUUGCAUGUCCAUCUCAGCUACUCAUCUCUGCAGGGGUUAGCUGUGAUCCCCAGUGCCCCCGUGAGUGCAGCUCUGGCAGAAGGUACAUUAAAGCUGGCAAUGUGAGGCAGAGGAGCAGCACUGCUCCUGGAGUGUCAGUUGGCCGGAUGACACAGAGCAGUUUCACAAGGCAGGAAUAGACUAGAAGUCUGUGAUGAGACCAUGGGACAGAGGGGUUUGAAGAAAGACUGGCUCUGGAGUUCCUAGUCCAGUGGUACCCUACAGGGGGCUGUGACUGGGGCUGUGAUAGCACGAUGAGAUGAGCUGCAGUUUGCGUAGUGCACUAGUAGUAUCGCCGUUCGUGUACUUUGGUGUCUUUUUUUGGAAUGCUUUUGAUAGUAGAGGUGCCAUGUGACCUUCUGUAUUGAGAUCUGAUGGCUCAGGAAUUCCCGGCUAAGCUAUUGGCCAUCAGUCCCUAUUCUCGUAUACAGAACUAUUGCCAAGGUAAGAAAAGCCUUAGAGAAAGCUAGCUUUUCAAAGAUGCAAUUCCCAUUGUUGCAUUCGCCUAAGACUCCUGGACCCCUGAGGCAUACAAGGGAGUGUCUGAGUUGUAAGUAUCAGAAGGAAUUAAUUAUUCUCUACUAUAAUUAAGAUUUUUUUUAAAUAGCUGAAUAAUUUAAAAAAAAUUGUGAGUUACAGUGCAGUUUUUCACAUAACCAGAUAAUCUGAAACUUUAGAGCUAUUUACCUGAGUAAAAGAAAUUUCUAGCAUCAACAAUUCUCUUUCUGUAAUAAAAACAAGUAAAUAACAGCUCUACUGCGGCUGCAAGAAAGGCAGCUUUCUUAAAAAGAAGUCUGUCAAGUCAAACUUGUCCCUCAAAAUGUAUGUUUUGUAAAAACCUUCAGAAAAUGUUGGGUCGAACUGUUUUAGUGUUAUUGUGAGGAAAUCGAUAUUUCCCUGCAGCCUUUGCAACCCCCAAAUCGUAGCAUGUUGUUUGUGUAGAAGAAGCUGAAAGUGAAACUGUCUAAAAAAGAGCGAAGUAACCUGGCCUGUUUCUAUAAUUUGCCCUAAAAGCACCUGAGGUAAACAAAAUGGCACACUAGAGCAGUCAAAAAUGAAAAAUU